rnacentral:tRNA from 1 species
GCCGUGGUAGCUCAGCUGGUCAGAGCGGUUGCUUUGUAAGCAACUGGCCGGGGGUUCGAAUCCCCCCUACGGCU